rnacentral:rRNA from 1 species
AACGAACGCUGGCGGCGUGCCUAACACAUGCAAGUCGUGCGAGAAAGUUCCUUCGGGAGCGAGUAAAGCGGCGCGCGGGUGAGUAACACGUAGGUAACCUGCCCCCCAGUCUGGAACAACUAGAGGAAACUCUAGCUAAUGCCGGAUGAGACCACGAUCCCUUCGGGGGUUGCGGCCAAAGAUGGCCUCUACUUGUAAGCUAUCGCUGAGGGAUGGGCCUGCGGGCCAUUAGCUUGUUGGUGAGGUAACGGCUCACCAAGGCUGUGAUGGCUAGCUGGUCUGAGAGGAUGACCAGCCACACUGGGACUGAGACACGGCCCAGACUCCUACGGAGGCAGCAGUGGGGAAUAUUGCGCAAUGGGCGAAAGCCUGACGCAGCGACGCCGCGUGGGUGAUGAAGGCCU